rnacentral:rRNA from 1 species
UACGUAGGUGGCAAGCGUUGUCCGGAAUUAUUGGGCGUAAAGCGCGCGCAGGCGGUCCUUUAAGUCUGAUGUGAAAGCCCACGGCUCAACCGUGGAGGGUCAUUGGAAACUGGGGGACUUGAGUACAGAAGAGAAGAGUGGAAUUCCACGUGUAGCGGUGAAAUGCGUAGAGAUGUGGAGGAACACCAGUGGCGAAGGCGACUCACUGGUCCGGUACUGACGCUGAGGUGCGAAAGCGUGGGGAGCAAACAGG